rnacentral:lncRNA from 1 species
GGCGCAGCGGGGCCGGGAACCGGAGCUCGAGACCGAGGCGCCCGGCCUCGGCAGCUGGACUGGGCAGCUUACAAUUCAUCAACGCAUAAAAGGCGGUCGCCACGAAGCCUCCAGCCUCUUUUGCCGCCGCGGAGCCCAGCAGGAGCUUCCCAAAGACAACGCGUCCCCAAGGACUAUCCCCCGUGUCCGGCAAGUCUGUCCUGCUGGAGCCCAAACCCCAGGACUCAGCGCAGGAGGGCCCCCGACCCGCUGGCCGGCCGCGAGGCGGUGAGCGCCGGAGCCGAGCGGAAGCUUUCCGCCAGGCUGCGAUCGGCGCCUCGGUUCGCAGGGAGGUGGCCGUUCCCAGCCCUUGGGAAAACAGGUAAUUCGCCUUUUUCCACCAAAGGCGCGGUUCAAAUUAUCCCCCGUUCUGGGUGGGUCUUCAGUUUCAUCACUGCGAACUGGGCUUCAAGCCCCUCCAGGGCAGCAUCCUGGCCACUGCAGAGCUGGGGGUGACCCCUGCGGACCGGCCUCUGCCCAAACGGCAGCCCAGCGUUGCCCGCCAGCCUUGCGCAGCACGGAGCAGUGGGCAAGGAUUUAAUUACCCCGCUCGGCGGCUCAGAAAAUCGCCGCGAAGAGGAG